rnacentral:rRNA from 1 species
AUACGAGUUUAGAAAAGAUGGCCUCUAUUUAUAAGCUGUCGCUUAAAGAUAAGCCUGCGUCCUAUUAGCUUGUUGGUGAGGUAAUGGCUCACCAAGGCAAUGAUAGGUAGGCGGCUUUAACGAGUGGUCGCCCACACUGGGAUUGAGAUACGGCCCAGACUCCUACGGGAGGCAGCAGUAGGGAAUAUUGGACAAUGGGCGCAAGCCUGAUCCAGCAAUGCCGCGUGUGUGAAGAAGGCCUUCGGGUUGUAAAGCACUUUCAGUAGAGAAGAAAUCCUUAAAGCCAAUACCUUUAAGUGUUGACGUUAUCUACAGAAGAAGCACUGGCUAACUCUGUGCCAGCAGCCGCGGUAAUACAGAGGG